UACGUAGGUGGCAAGCGUUGUCCGGAUUUACUGGGCGUAAAGGGCGCGCAGGCGGUCUUGAAAGUCAGGCGUGAAAGCCCCGGGCUUAACCUGGGAAUUGCGCUUGAUACUCUGAGACUGGAGUACGGGAGAGGAGAGUGGAAUUCCCAGUGUAGAGGUGAAAUUCGUAGAUAUUGGGAAGAACACCAGUGGCGAAGGCGGCUCUCUGGACCGUAACUGACGCUGAGGCGCGAAAGCGUGGGGAGCAACAGG
rnacentral:rRNA from 1 species